rnacentral:rRNA from 1 species
AACGCGAAGAACCUUACCAGGUCUUGACAUCCUCUGACAACCCUAGAGAUAGGGCGUUCCCCUUCGGGGGACAGAGUGACAGGUGGUGCAUGGUUGUCGUCAGCUCGUGUCGUGAGAUGUUGGGUUAAGUCCCGCAACGAGCGCAACCCUUGAUCUUAGUUGCCAGCAUUCAGUUGGGCACUCUAAGGUGACUGCCGGUGACAAACCGGAGGAAGGUGGGGAUGACGUCAAAUCAUCAUGCCCCUUAUGACCUGGGCUACACACGUGCUACAAUGGACGGUACAAAGGGCAGCAAACCUGCGAAGGUAAGCAAGUCCCAUAAAGCCAUUCUCAGUUCGGAUUGCAGGCUGCAACUCGCCUGCAUGAAGCCGGAAUCGCUAGUAAUCGCGGAUCAGCAUGCCGCGGUGAAUACGUUCCCGGGUCUUGUACACACCG